UCAGUCGGCCGGACGGCCGCUCCGGCAGGGGCCGAAAGGCCGCCGGGGAGGAAAGUCCGGGCUCCCUUGACAUGCGGUGCCGGAUAACGUCCGGCGGGGGUGACCCCAGGGAAAGUGCCACAGAGAACGAACCGCUCCCUCCACGGAGGAAGUAAGGGUGAAAAGGUGCGGUAAGAGCGCACCGCGGGUCCGGCAACGGAGCCGGCAUGGCAAACCCCACCGGGAGCAAAACCGAAUAGGGACGGCGUAGCGGGCUGUUCGCGAAAGCGAUAACGCCGCGGGGCGAUGUCAGGCCCGCCGUCCGGGUAGGUUGCUCGAGGCCAUGUGCAAACAUGACCCCAGAGGAAUGGCCGUCACGCAUCGUUCGCGCAAGCGGACGGUGCCCUACAGAACCCGGCUUACAGGCCGGCUGAUAUC
rnacentral:RNase_P_RNA from 1 species